GAUGAACGCUGGCGGCGUGCCUAAUACAUGCAAGUCGAGCGAACGGACGAGAAGCUUGCUUCUCUGAUGUUAGCGGCGGACGGGUGAGUAACACGUGGAUAACCUACCUAUAAGACUGGGAUAACUUCGGGAAGCCGGAGCUAAUACCGGAUAAUAUUUUGAACCGCAUGGUUCAAAAGUGAAAGACGGUCUUGCUGUCACUUAUAGAUGGAUCCGCGCUGCAUUAGCUAGUUGGUAAGGUAACGGCUUACCAAGGCAACGAUGCAUAGCCGACCUGAGAGGGUGAUCGGCCACACUGGAACUGAGACACGGUCCAGACUCCUACGGGAGGCAGCAGUAGGGAAUCCUCCGCAAUGGGCGAAAGCCUGACGGAGCAACGCCGCGUGAGUGAUGAAGGUCUUCGGAUCGUAAAACUCUGUUAUUAGGGAAGAACAUAUGUGUAAGUAACUGUGCACAUCUUGACGGUACCUAAUCAGAAAGCCACGGCUAACUACGUG
rnacentral:rRNA from 1 species